GACGAACGCUGGCGGCGUGCUUAACACAUGCAAGUCGAGCGGUAAGGCCCUUUCGGGGGUACACGAGCGGCGAACGGGUGAGUAACACGUGGGUGACCUGCCUUUAGCUCUGGGAUAAGCCUGGGAAACCGGGUCUAAUACCGGAUAUGACUCCGCGGCGCAUGUUGUGGGGUGGAAAGCCUUGUGCGGCUGGAGAUGGGCCCGCGGCCUAUCAGCUUGUUGGUGGGGUGAUGGCCUACCAAGGCGACGACGGGUAGCCGGCCUGAGAGGGCGACCGGCCACACUGGGACUGAGACACGGCCCAGACUCCUACGGGAGGCAGCAGGUGGGGAAUCUUGCGCAAUGGGCGAAAGCCUGACGCAGCGACGCCGCGUGAGGGAUGA
rnacentral:rRNA from 1 species